GAUGAAGAGCGUAGCGAAAUGCGAUAAGUAAUGUGAAUUGCAGAAUUCAGUGAAUCAUCGAAUCUUUGAACGCACAUUGCGCCCUCUGGUAUUCCGGGGGGCAUGCCUGUUCGAGCGUCAUUACAACCCUCAAGCUUUGCUUGGUAUUGGACAUUGCCAGUUUCUGGCAGGUCUUAAAAUCAGUGGCGGUGCCAUUUGGCUUCAAGCGUAGUAAUUCUUCUCGCUUUGGAGAUCCAAGUGGUUACUUGCCAAUAACCCCCAAUUUUUUCAGGUUGACCUCGGAUCAGGUAGGGAUACCCGCUGAACUUAAGCAUAUCAAUAAGCGGAGGA
rnacentral:misc_RNA from 1 species